CCAAUAUGGAUAUCCUGGGAGGUUACUCUCCCUGGGCUCUGUCCUAGUAGCAUAGGGGAGCAUAGGGCUCUGCCCUAUGAUGUACCAUCCCUUUCCACAAAGUUGGAGAUGAAGCUGGGCUUUGAGUCUGCACCUGCAUACGACUUCUCAGAGUCCUGUGGACUAUGACUGGGGAGACAAACCAUGCAGGAAAAAGUC
ensembl:snoRNA SNORA73 Small nucleolar RNA SNORA73 family